rnacentral:lncRNA from 1 species
UAGACAGAUUUUUCCUCAAAGAGCUUCACUAAAGAUAUGAUAUGAGUUAUGAAAUGCUUCUUGAGGUUCAGAUGAUCAUGAGAAUCAAAAGCAAUAGGUGGAAACACAAAAUCAACUACAGGUUCAAACGAGGUUUUAACAAAGUAGUCAACUCUAUCUCCAUCAAUCAAAUAAUUCACAACGUUCAAAUUCUCAUGAUAGUUUUCAGCAUGGGGGUUUUCUAUC